rnacentral:rRNA from 1 species
UACGUAGGUGGCAAGCGUUGUCCGGAUUUAUUGGGCGUAAAGCGAGCGCAGGCGGAAAGAUAAGUCUGAUGUGAAAGCCCCCGGCUUAACCGAGGAAUUGCAUCGGAAACUGUGUUUCUUGAGUGCAGGAGAGGUAAGCGGAAUUCCUGGUGUAGCGGUGAAAUGCGUAGAUAUCAGGAGGAACACCAGUGGCGAAGGCGGCUUACUGGACUGUAACUGACGUUGAGGCUCGAAAGCGUGGGGAGCAAACAGG